AUGAGGCUCCCUGCUCAGCUCCUGGGGUUGCUAAUGCUCUGGAUCCCUGGAUCCAGUGGGGAUAUUGUGAUGACCCAGACUCCACUCUCCCUGUCCAUCACCCCUGGAGAGCCAGCCUCCAUCUCCUGCAGGUCUAGUCAGAGCCUCCGGCAUAGUAAUGGAUACACCUAUUUGGAUUUGGUACCUGCAGAAGCCAGGCCAGUCUCCACAGCUCCUGAUCUAUUUGGGUUCUAAUCGGGCCUCCGGGGUCCCAGACAGGUUCAGUGGCAGUGGGUCAGGCACUGAUUUCACACUGAAAAUCAGCAGGGUGGAGGCUGAGGAUGUUGGGGUUUAUUACUGCAUGCAAGGUAUACAGCUUCCUCCCACGGUGGUACAGACCAAUACAGAAACCUCUCUGCUGGGGUGUCCCAGCUGCUCACUUGCACUGCUUGUCUGGGGAGUAGCUCAGCAGGGACUAUGA